AUGUCGCUCCUCCUGGUGUUGAUCGGCGUUGUGGUUGUUGCGAGCAGCUUGCUGCUUUGGUGGAACGAGGUAAGGUACGGCAGGAGAGGGAAUGGGUGCCUGCCGCCGGGGACAAUGGGGUGGCCGCUGUUCGGCGAGACCACCCGGUUCCUCAAGCAGGGCCCGAGCUUCAUGAAGGAGAGGAGGCUCAGAUACGGGAGGAUUUUUCGGACGCACGUCCUAGGGUGCCCCACGGUGGUGUGCAUGGACCCCGAGCUCAACCGCCGCAUGCUGCUCCAGGGUGAGUCCGGCGGCCUGGUCCCCGGCUAUCCGCAGUCCAUGCUCGACAUUCUCGGCCCCAACAACAUCGGUGCCUUGCAUGGCCCAUUGCACCGGUUCAUCCGCGGCGCCAUGCUCAGCCUCGUGCACCCCACCGCGAUCCGCACCAACCUUCUCCCCAAGAUGGAUGCCUUCAUGCGCUCCCACCUUGAUGGAUGGUCUGGCUCCGUCGUCGACAUCCAGGCAAAGACCAAGGAGAUGACCUCGCUAUCUAUGCUCAGGCAAAUCGCCGGCAUCACCGCGGGCCCGCUCUCUAAUGCCCUCAAUACAGAGCUCUACACCCUUGCGCUCGGCACCAUUUCCUUGCCCAUCAACCUUCCAGGGACCAGGUAUUACCAGGGCUUGCAGGCGAGGAAGAAGUUCGUGUCCAUGCUAGAGAAGAUGAUCGCGGAGCGGAGGUCCUCUAAUCAAGCUCACGGUGACAUGUUGGAGGCUCUAUUGAGAAGUGGUGAUGAUGGGACCAGGGAAAAGCUCAGUGAUGAGCAGAUCAUUGACUUGAUCAUCACCAUUAUUUACGACGGGUAUGAGACCAUGUCGACGACCUCAAUGAUGGCUGUCAAGUACCUGUCCGACCAUCCACAGGCUCUCCAAGAACUAAGGAGAGAGCAUCUUGAUAUUAGGAAGGGAAAAUCGCCGGAGGAGGCUAUCAACUACGAGGAUUUCAAGUCCAUGGUCUUCACUCGAGCUGUCAUAUUUGAGACGCUAAGAUUAGCCACAGUCGUGAAUGGGCUGCUGAGAAAAAUUACUCAGAAUGUAGAAAUGAAUGGGUAUGUCAUUCCAAAAGGCUGGAGAAUCUAUGUUUACACAAGGGAAAUAAACUACGAUUCGUUCAUGUACCCUGACCCGAUGUCCUUCAACCCAUGGAGAUGGCUGGAGAAGAACAUGGAAUCACACCCACACUUCAUGUUGUUCGGGGGAGGCGGCCGGAUGUGCCCCGGGAAGGAGAUGGGCACGGCUGAGAUUGCAACUUUCCUACACUAUUUUGUGACUCGAUACAGAUGGGAGGAGGAAGGCAAGAACACCAUACUGAAAUUCCCCCGGGUGGAAGCUCCCAACGGGUUACAUAUCCGAGUUCAAGAUUACUGA
rnacentral:rRNA from 1 species